rnacentral:lncRNA from 1 species
GCGGAUCGAGAAGCGUUGGAGUGGAAAAUGUUGGGUGAAGUGUGAGGAUCUUCUACUAAGAGUGGAAAAGGAAGGCAUGGUGAUGUUGAUGAUUGAUGGAUGGCGUGUUUGUUUGGGACUCGGGUAGUUUCUUUCUUUCUUUCACCUAUCCAGAGAGUCAAGGCAUUGGAUUGGAUAGGUGACUCCACAUUUUCUUUUCUUUUCUUUCUUUUUUGAGGUAGGAGACAGUACAGUUACAUCAAAUACUACUAUAUAUAAGUAAUAAAU